CUGCAACACUAUUUACAAUACCCAAGACAUGGAAACAACCUAAAUGUCCAUUGACAGUUGAAUGGAUUAAGAAGAUGUGGUACAUAUACACACUGGAAUACUACUCAACAUAAAAGAGAACAAAAUAAUGUCAUUUGCAGCAACAUGGCUGCAGCUAGAGAUUCUCAUACUAAGCAAAGUCAGAAAAACAAAUACCAUAUGAUAUCAUUUAUUUGUGGAAUCUAAACUAUGGCUCAGAUGAACCUAUCUACAGAACAGAAAUAGUCUCACAGACAUAGAGGGCAGACUUGCAAUUGCCAAGGGGUUGGGGGAGGGAGUGGGAUGGACUGGGAUUUGGAUGUGAAUAGAUGCAAACUAUUACAUUUAGAAUGGAUAAGCAAUGAGGACCUGCUGUAUAGCACAGGGAACUAUAUCCAAUCACAUGUGAUAGAACGUGAUAGAGGAUAAUGUGAGAAAAGUGUGUAUAUAUGUAUGACUGGGUCACUUUGCUAUACAGCAUAAAUUGAUAGAACAUUGUAAAUCAACUAUAAUAAUAAUAAUAAAAAGAGUGUGGGUUCCUAACAGCAGAGUCCUGGAAGUAAAGGAGCCUGAACUGAGGCCAAGAGCUUAGAGUGAUUUUUGUGCAUACUCUGGUAGACACUGCCAGAUAUGGUUAAAUGGAAGUAGACUGCAUUGCCAUCACUGCUGAUAGCUUCCAUGUCUUUCUAUCUCUCUUAGGAUGCCUUCAGAAGCUCAGUACUCAUAAAGUUCUGGGAACUGGAAAAAACGUAGAGAAGAUGACUCCAGACAACGCUUACAAGGGGUGAAAGUCAUAUGCCUGGCUGCCCUAGCAGUUCUUUCUGCAACCGGGGAACCCCAGCCCAAGAAGCAAGCCUCACACUCACGCCAAGAAUUGUCUGGAGCCAUAAAGGCAGUUGGGGAGCUAAAAGAUAGACAGAGGAAAAAAAUUUAAAGCCAUUCAGCUUUUUUAAAAAUAAAGAACAAAAAAGCUCAAUUUGCCCUUGAAUAUAACAAUAGUCAGAGGCUGAGAAAAGACAUUUACUGUCGUCAUCUGUGUCAGGUAAGUUGCCACUUCAACCGAGGGGAGCAAUUACAGCAAGGGCACUUCUCUGUUAGAUUUCAGUGUGACGGGCUUACCGAACCGAUGGGCAGUAAAUGCACAAGGCACAAGGCUUUAGGCAAAUUUCCACAUCAAAUAGCAUGGAGAUCUUUGCCAGAGAUUGUUAAAAAGUAUCCGAGCAAAUCUCAUCUUGAUUAUUUUUACAUAUGUUUUGGAAACCUAGCCAGAGCUUCAUCUUGGGUCAACUAUUGAACAAAACCCAAUUAUGGGGGAUAAUUGGUUUAUGCUUUGUAAAAUCUAGGCGUGUUUAUGUCAACUUGAUCAUGGAAAAAGCUAAGAAAUUUGGCAAUAUCAUGUGGGUGCCUGUCAGCUGGAGAUAGGUCAGCAACAGUAUACUAUGGUAAUCAUUGCAGCAGUAGUGUUUAUUCAUUAGAAAUGGCAAAACAAGACAGAGAUCAUUUUUAAUACACCCAAAGAUAACCAGUCAUCAUACAGAUUUUAUUCCAUUUAUUUGUAAGUCAUAUUUUGCAUCUAAGAUUGUUUGCAUUGAUUCCUGCUGCCUUACAUUCAUGCCUUUGUAUAAUCCCCUCCCCUUGAGUGUAAUUAGGUUAUGGAAGAUUUAGGCUUCUAUCUUAGAUGUUCUCUCUCUGAUCAAAGCCAAGGGCCAUGUUGCAAGCUGCUAUAUGGAGAAGCCCAUGUGGCAAGGAACCGAAGGAGGCCUUCACUCCAGCAUCCUCUGUGGAACCACAGGAGUUAGCUUGGAGGUGGAUUUCUAUUUGAGCUAUGACGGCAGUUUCAUGAGAGACUUUGAACCAGCUAUGCCUAGGUAGACCAGUUCCAGAUUUUGGACCCAGAGAAACUCUGAGAUAGUAAAUGUUUGUUGCUUUAAGCUGCUAAGUGUUAGGGUAGUUUGUUAUGCAGCAAUAGAUAACUUGUGUAAAUGUUUACAAAAAGUGGAUGAUAGUGUCUUUUGUUAGAGUCCUAACAGUAAAUAGAGGGCAUUCAACUGAGAUUUUCAAGAGAACCACAGGCAAUGUUAAGAAAAUCAGUAAGGUAUGAAGAGGCAGCCAGGUCUUAUAAUAGUGGGAAGCAAUUAUCCUCCCUAGACUUGAAGGAGAAAGGGAGCCAAAGAGGGGAAACUGUUUCAUAGGAACAGUAUUUUGGAGGGCUUAACACCUGCCAGAACCACGUAGAGGGAGGAAAGGAGCAGAGAAGAAAUGCCCUGAUCUCUUUCUCCUGCCAUCUUGCAAUCUGCCCAUGACUUUCAUUGGCCAAACCCAACUGGAAACCAGGGGGUCAGCUCCCAAGAACAGAGAACAAAGUAGAGAAAGUAGAAGAUGGUUAUGCUGUGGCAUAAAGAGAAAAACCAGCAUAUGCAAAUACUCUUGUGCAACUGUUUUUAUGUUUACCAUCUUUCUAUAUAAUUAAAGAUUCUUCUAAUCAUGGAUUUUUGUUUUGUUUUUUGUUUGUUUUUUGGUUUGUGCCCAGGGCAUAUGAAAAUACCUGGGCCCGGGAUUGAACCCAUGCCACAGCAGUGGGCUAGUGCAGUGACAAUACCGGAUCCUUAACCCACUGUGCAACAAGGGAAGUCCUACAUCAUAGUUUUAAAUAGCUACGUACAAGUACUACACCCAAAUGAUCUCAAUCAUGCAAUGAUGAACAAUUUUGGUUGUAUAAAAAUUUUUAUUUUGCUAUGGGAAACAGUGAAAUGAAUAUCCUUAUAGUUAUAUUUCUAUGGACUUAAAAAAAAUAGUUCCUUAGCAUAUAAUGCAGUAAGUAGAAUAAUUGAUGAAAAACAUUUUUUAGGGUUUUUAUAUAUCUUCCUAUAUUACUACCAGAAAACUUGCUUUGAUACCUCCCCCAGAAAAAUCUUUUUCUAUUUGAUAAGUUUUUUAAAAUGCUGUUUUUUUUUUUGUUUUUUGUUUUUUGUUUUUUUAGGGCCACACCCGAGACAUAUGGAAGUUCCCAGGCUAGAUGUGUCAAAUCAGAGCUGCAGCUGCCAGCCUAUACGUGUCUGCAAUCUAUACCAAAGCUCACAGCAAUACUGGAUCCUUAACCCACUGAGCAGGGCCAGGGAUUGAACCUGCAUCCUCUUCAAUACUAGUCAGGUUUGUUACCCCUGAGCCACAGUGGGAACUCUUAAAAGUAUUUUUUUUUUUUUAAUUAUAGUUGAUUUAGAGUUCCCCUGGUGGCCUAGCAGUUAAAGGAUCUGGCAUUGUCACUGCUGUGUCUCAGGUCACUACAGUGGUAAGGGUUCUGUCCCUGUCUGCAUGCUUCAGGUGUGGCCAAAAAGAAAGUAUAGCUGACUUACAAUGUUGUGCUAAUUUCUGCUUUACAGCAAAGUGACUUAGUUAUACACAUGUGUACGUUCUUUUGCUGUUGUUUUAAUUUUCAUCUUUUUUCUUUUUUUUAGCGCUGUACCCAUGGCAUAUGGAGUUUCCCACCACUAGGGGUCAAUUUGGAGCUACAGCUGCCGUCCUAUACCACAGCCACAGCAAAGGAGGAUCAAGCAGUGUCUGCAACCUACACCACAGCUCAAGGCAAUGCCGGAUCCCCAACCCACUGAACGAGGCCAGGAAUUGAACCUGCAUCCUCAUGGAUACCAGUCCGAUUUGUUUCUGCUGCACCACAAUGGGAACUCCUUAAUUUUCACCUUGAUGUUACUAAGUUAUUUAAAUUAUUUCCACAUGUUCAUUAGCUACUUAUUUUUC
rnacentral:lncRNA from 9 species